AACGCGAAGAACCUUACCCAGGCUUGAACAGCGAGUGACCAUCUCCGAAAGGGGACUUCCGCAAGGACACUCGUAGAGGUGCUGCAUGGCUGUCGUCAGCUCGUGUCGUGAGAUGUUGGGUUAAGUCCCGCAACGAGCGCAACCCUUGUCUGCUGUUGCCAUCAGGUUAAGCUGGGCACUCUGCAGAGACUGCCGGUGAUAAACCGGAGGAAGGUGGGGAUGACGUCAAGUCAGCAUGGCCUUUAUGUCUGGGGCUACACACGUGCUACAAUGGCCGGUACAAACCGUUGCAAAACCGUAAGGUCGAGCUAAUCGGAGAAAGCCGGUCUCAGUUCGGAUAGCAGGCUGCAACUCGCCUGCUUGAAGUUGGAAUCGCUAGUAAUCGCGGAUCAGCACGCCGCGGUGAAUACGUUCCCGGGCCUUGUACACACCGUACGUC
rnacentral:rRNA from 1 species